rnacentral:rRNA from 1 species
GAUGAACGCUGGCGGCGUGCCUAAUACAUGCAAGUCGAGCGAACGGACGAGAAGCUUGCUUCUCUGAUGUUAGCGGCGGACGGGUGAGUAACACGUGGAUAACCUACCUAUAAGACUGGGAUAACUUCGGGAAACCGGAGCUAAUACCGGAUGAUAUUUUGAACCGCAUGGUUCAAAAGUGAAAGACGGUCUUGCUGUCACUUAUAGAUGGAUCCGCGCUGCAUUAGCUAGUUGGUAAGGUAACGGCUUACCAAGGCAACGAUGCAUAGCCGACCUGAGAGGGUGAUCGGCCACACUGGAACUGAGACACGGUCCAGACUCCUACGGGAGGCAGCAGUAGGGAAUCUUCCGCAAAGGGCGAAAGCCUGAAGGAGCAACGCCGCGUGAGUGAUGAAGGUCUUCGGAUCGUAAAACUCUGUUAUUAGGGAAGAACAUAUGUGUAAGUAACUGUGCACAUCUUGACGGUACCUAAUCAGAAAGCCACGGCUAACUACGUG